rnacentral:misc_RNA from 1 species
GAUGAAGAACGUAGCAAAAUGCGAUAAGUAAUGUGAAUUGCAGAAUUCAGUGAAUCAUCGAAUCUUUGAACGCACAUUGCGCCCAUCAGUAUUCUGUUGGGCAUGCCUGUCCGAGCGUCAUUUCAACCCUCAGGGCCCGUUCGCGGGAACUGGUGUUGGGGAUCGGCCUCCCCCCGGAGGCCGGCCCCGAAAUGCAGUGGCGGCUCUACCGCGAUCUCCUCUGUGUAGUAGCGAUACCUCGCAGCUGGAUAGUGGUGGUGCCACGCCGUAAAAUCCCAACUUUACCAAGGUUGACCUCGGAUCAGGUAGGAAUACCCGCUGAACUUAAGCAUAUCAAUAAGCGGAGGA